AUGAACGCUGGCGGCGUGCCUAAUACAUGCAAGUCGAGCGAACGGACGAGAAGCUUGCUUCUCUGAUGUUAGCGGCGGACGGGUGAGUAACACGUGGAUAACCUACCUAUAAGACUGGGAUAACUUCGGGAAACCGGAGCUAAUACCGGAUAAUAUUUUGAACCGCAUGGUUCAAAAGUGAAAGACGGUCUUGCUGUCACUUAUAGAUGGAUCCGCGCUGCAUUAGCUAGUUGGUAAGGUAACGGCUUACCAAGGCAACGAUGCAUAGCCGACCUGAGAGGGUGAUCGGCCACACUGGAACUGAGACACGGUCCAGACUCCUACGGGAGGCAGCAGUAGGGAAUCUUCCGCAAUGGGCGAAAGCCUGACGGAGCAACGCCACGUGAGUGAUGAAGGUCUUCGGAUCGUAAAACUCUGUUAUUAGGGAAGAACAUAUGUGUAAGUAACUGUGCACAUCUUGACGGUACCUAAUCAGAAAGCCACGGCUAACUACGU
rnacentral:rRNA from 1 species